GCAAGUCGAACGGUAACAGGUCGUAUACAUCCUUCGGGGUGUUGUGGCGCUGACGAGUGGCGGACGGGUGAGUAAUGCAUAGGAAUCUACCCAGUAGUGGGGGAUAUCUUGGAGAAAUUCAAGUUAAUACCGCAUAUGUCCUACGGGGCAAAGCAGGGGACCUUCGGGCCUUGCGCUAUUGGAUGAGCCUAUGUCGGAUUAGCUAGUUGGUAGGGUAAAAGCCUACCAAGGCAACGAUCUGUAGCUGGUCUGAGAGGACGAAC
rnacentral:rRNA from 1 species